rnacentral:lncRNA from 10 species
UCCUUGCCUCCCCACCAACAGCCUCAGAUCAAACUCCCCGAAUAUUUAUAAAAUCUCUACCAGAAACAGAGAAAGUCAGCCGCCCAGCCAGGCGUCUGCCCACGUCUUUCCGGAGCUGCUGGAGUGACACUCUCCAACGUGGCUCAUUAUUCUGUUUUUCUUCCUUGCACCUCCAGAAGGGAACACUGCCCUGACGACACUGAUUUUAGCUCAGUGAGAUCCAUUUUGGACUUCUGACCUCCAGGAUUAUACAGUCUCUUCAAUUCUGCCCAAGAGAUUUGGCCUGAAAAGAUUGUGCCUUCAACCUCAUCCUGGAAAUUCAGUAUCAAGCAUUUCUGGUGCAUCCUGAAGUAUGAUGGUCAUCUGGAGGAAAAGCACUUGUGUGAGUGUCCUGAGUUGUGAUCUGCACUAGUCACUUUCAUGGAACACAAUGUUUACUCAAAAGGACCAAAUAACCAUAGUUAUUCAGAUUUGGUUAUUUGACAGGCAUUUUCUCAAAAAUGAACAAACUGAGCUCAUCACUUCAAGAAAGACAAUAAUUAACAGUAUUUUCUGCCAAAAUAGAAGUAUAAAGCAAAAAUUAGAAUUUUUAGAAACCUGUAUCUGCCAUAGUGAACUUAACACCUUCCCAACACUUACAGAGGUUUUUGAUGAGAUCAGUGAUAUUAACAAAUAAGAACUUUUAGUUUUCAUCAAGAAAUAUAUCAAAUUUGAAAAAUCUGCAUGACUUAGUGAAGCAAUAUUUUCCAAAUGACCCAUGCAUAUUAUUUCAAAAUCAUGCAUGAGCAAAAGAUCUAUUCAGAGUACAAGCCAGAUAACUGAAUUUUAACAUAACUGAGCACAAAAAGUUCAUUGAUAUAGUUUCAGAUUCCACAUUGCAACUAACCUUAGUAAUCUACUAUUGGUUGAGUUUUGGUAUAAUGUCAAAGAAGAAUAUUCACAAUUAUCUGAAAAGACUAUUAAAAUAUUCCUCCCUUUUCCAACAAAAUAACUACGUGAGGCUGGGUUUCCUUCGCAUACUUUAUCCAAAACAACAUUAUCACAGCUGAUUGAAUGCAGAAGCCGAUAUGAGAAUCCAGCUGUCUUCUAUUAAGCCGGACAGUCAAGAGAUUUGCAAAAAUGUAAAACACUGUCACUCUUCUCACUUGGAUUUUUUAAAAAAGUUAUUUUUAUAAUAAAAUGUUAUUUUUAACGUUUAAAUGGAUUAAUGAAUAUAUGCAUUUUAAUAAAUUACUAAAUGUUAAUUUAUUCAUUAACAAUGAAUAAAUAUUAAAUGAACAAAUAUUAUUUUUGGUUUUAGUUUUUAAUAUGGUAAAUUAUUUAAUUAUCUAUUGCUGUAUAGCAAAGUAUCCUAAAACCUAGUGGCUUAAAACAACAAUAAUCACUUGAGUUGCCAGCCUAAAGAAAUGGGUCCAGCUUCCGGGCAGGGCGUGGUGGCUCACGCCCGUAAUCCUAGCACUUUGGGAGGCCGAGGUGGGCGGACCACAAGGUCAGGAGAUCGAGACCAUCCUGGCUAACAUGGUGAAACCCCGUCUCUACUAAAAAUACAAAAAAUUACCCGGGCAUGGUGGUGGGUGCCUGUGGUCCCAGCUACUCGGGAGGCUGAGGCAGGAGAAUGGCAUGAACCUGGGAGGCAGAGCUUGCAGUGAGCCGAGAUCAUGCCACUGCACUCCAGCACUCCAGCCUGGGCGACAGAGUGAGACUCUGUCUCAAAAAAAAAAAAAAAAAGAAAAGAAAAGAAAGAAAGAAAGAAAGAAAUUGGUUCACCUGGGUGGCUCAUACCUGUAAUCCCAUCACUUUGGGAGGCUGAGGUGAGAUGAUCAUUUGAGGCCAGGAGUUUAAAACAAGCCUGGGCAACAUAGCGAGACCCCAUCUCUAAAAGAAAAAAAAAAAAGCCAGGAAUGGUGGUGCACACCUGUAGUCCUAGCAACUUGAGAGACUGAGGCUGAAAGAUCACUUAAUCCCAGGAGGUUGAGGCUACAGUGAAUUGUGAUUGCACCACUGCACUCCAGCCUGGAUGACAGAGGGAGACCCUAUCUCUCUAAAAAAAAAAAAAAAAAAAAGAAGAAGAAGAAGAAAGGAAGAAAAGAAAUUAUUGGUCCAUAUGUCUGAAAUGUCUUUGCUGUCUAUCUUUGUCCCGUUGCUCAUAGUUAGACCAUCAUUUAGGCAACUUCUUGCUCACUUACCCUCCACAAGCUUGGACACAGGUCCUUCUAGCUCUGUUUCUUCUGAACUUGAGAUUACUGGAGACUCCCUUAUGAGUUUUAACACUCCCCAUAACCUUUGUAUGAUUUGUACAUAGAAAAUACCCCCAAAAUUAAAAAUAAAUUAUUAAACUAAAGGAAAGGUUAGUAAGAUUGCUGGACAUAAAAUUAAUAUUUGAAAAUAAAUUAUAUUCCAAUAAGAUACACAAAUGGCCAACAAGCACAUAAGAAAUAUCUUUAGUAUCACCUGCUCUCUGCAGCUCCCAGGCACACCUCCCCAGGAGCAGAGGUUUUCUGGGCUAGGUCAGGCCCUCCCAUUACCUGCUUUGUAGAAGACAGGGAAGAAAAUCACUCACUGUAUGUAAUUUUAUUUAAGAGAGUGCAAGAAUGUCGUGUUUGAGCCUUUCACUCUUUUUUCUUUGUAUUUCUUAUCGGAAAUGAAAGAAAACAGCCAGUGAGAUAGGAUCUCAGGUCUAGAAUUCCUAGCAGGUAAUUUGGGAGUUGAAAACAAAUCUCCCCUGAAAUGCAUUAAGCAGGUGAAGGGGAUUCCAGUUUCAACUCUGAAACCACACCUUAUCCUGGCCUGGCAAAUAACUUCCUUCCAGCCCCAGGCAAAUCCCAACUUCCACCCGCCAAAUGCCUGCAGUUAAUAAACGUUUAAGCAACAACAAAAACCCCAAGUGGAAAAUGGAAGACUGAUUCGAGGCUGAGAUACUAGAAGGGCUGCCUGGGAGCCCCUCUCUGAGAGCCGCGCCCACAGGAGGAACUUUUAGCCAGGGAAGCCGGGGCCUGGAGCUGGGGAACCCAAGGCAUGAUGUCUUUCAGAGCGUCAGAGCAGGGUAAAUAUCUGAUUUGAGUCAAAUGAUUAUUUUUCUUGAUCAGAUUUGUCCACUUGUUUCAUUGGAACUCCAUACCACUAGCCAUGGUCAAACCCUUCAAAAUGGCCAAAAUCUCCAGACUGCAUUAUUGGGCCACAGUAGGUCCUGCUUCCUGCUAAGUGCUGCAAGACUGGAGUUUCCAAGCUCUGGUCUAGAUAGGUCAGCUGAGGGUUGGUAAGGAAGUUCUCAUGGGUCCAGAGAGAACUAAGAAAAAAAGGAUCAUGUUAUGCUGUGGAAAUGUGCUCCGCGGUAAUUUUUAUUCCCAUUUUACAUAUCAGAAAACAGAGGCUCAGAGACGUUGAAUGACUUGCCACAUAGCUAGUCAGUAGCAGAGCGAGGAUGGAGAUUCACAUGAUCAAUCACAGUGACCACCGUUUGCUGAGCACCUGUAGUGAGACAGGCAAACACCUUGUGCUUUGUGUGUGUUAACUUGUUCAGUUCUCGUGGAUUGCUUCCUUUUUAAAGAAAUGAAACUGUUCAACAGAGCUUCCUGCCAUAAGGGAAAUCUUCUACAUCUCACGUCCAAUAGAUAGCCACAAGCCCCAUGUUGCUAUUCAGCCCUUGAAAUGUGGUAAGUGAAACUGAGGAACAAAAUUUUAAAAUUUUAUUUCACUUAAAUUGAUUUAAAUGUGAACAGCCACAUGUGGCUGGCAGCUCUGGGAGGUUCAGUAGCUUUUCCAAAAGCCAGCGAAGUGAUGAGGUGAGGGUUGUGUUGUGGGGCUGAUUGAGCCCCAAAUCCAUGUGUUUCCCCCUUUCUCUCUGCUCCCCUGUGAGGUGGCCUGCCUUUUCCAAAGUAAAAGACACUGGGAAGGAAACUGACCAGACAGUAUACAGUCAGCCAAAAAUAAAGCCAGACCCCAAAGGUGGGGUCUGUAUUUGAGUCUGCUUCUUCCGAAUGUGUCUGGAAGCCCCCAUGGGUGGCCAAACAGCCCAGCUGGGGGCUUCAGACCCUGCACCAGUAACUUCCCAGAGCCCACCAUGGCCCAUUUGGCUGGGGCUUAUAUGACUCACAGGUUCCAACCCUACAAUUUAAACUGCAGCAUUUCCUUUUUCUGGGCUUAACACUAAUUGGUAGAGGUAGUGAGCUCCCAGGCCCAGCCUCACCCUGUCGAAACAUGUAGCUCUCAACAGUUCCCACUGGAAGCACCACCCAUGAGGUGCAGCUACCAUUGCCAUGUGUCUGAAUGCCAGUGUUUAACCCAAGCUGGCCCAUUGUUGUUCCAUGAGCCUCUCUAUAGCCUCUGAAUGUUCAUCUUU